rnacentral:sRNA from 1 species
AGGUGAUCAUGACUCGGGGGAUGAAGAUGAUGAUGACAUGCCACAGCAGGGUCCUCCAAACCAAGCUAUGGUCAUUCGUGAAAUAGGCCCUGAAGAGAAGAAUAGUGAUGCAGAGGAAAUUAUUCCAGUCGUGAAUGCACCAGAGGAUGCAGAGGAUGCUGAAGUUCUUAGUGACAUUGAUCGGGAUCACAACGCCAUGGAUGAUUAUGCUGAUUAUCAAGAGGUGGGGGUGCAUACAGCAUGUACCGUGGAGAGAUGGAUACUAAUGAGUUGUUCAAUCCCAUCCCCAUUUUUGAGAAUGCUACGGGCGACAUACCAGACAAUGAAAGUUACCAGAGGUACUCGGAUGUACUUCAUCCAAGUGAUGAAAUUAUGGAGCAGACUGUUCGCAAUCAGGAAGCGUUGGCAAUAAAGAGGGGAAAAAGGAAGCGGGAGGAUGAGUUAUGUCAAGAGGAUUCUCCGACCACACAUAAGCAGGUGAUCCGCGAGAAAGGUGAAGGAAGCAGCUCUCAGGCUGAGAGCGACCAGUGUGGAGGUGUGGUGGGCCCUAAAUCACCAUUUUCUUCAUGAUUACAACCUGCUGGAACUGUCAAGGCCUUGGCAUAGACCUUACAGUUCGACGCCUAAAGGAGAUCAAGCGUUUGUAUCUCCCGGACAUUUUAUGCUUGCUUGAAACAAAACAACAAGAUGACAAGAUCCGUGAUGUUUGUGUGGAGUUGGGUUAUGAGAAGUUCAUCUCGGUUCCACCUAUUGGUCUGAGUGGUGGUGUUGCUGUUUUCUGGAAGUCUUAUUUUCGUUUCUGUUAUUUUUCAAAGUUCAAAUCUUGUAGAUUCUCAAGUUCAAAGUAAUGGAAUAUGUUUUUUUUUGUCUUUUGUGUAUGGAAAUCCGGAGCCGAGUAACAAAAAACAAUUAUGGGAAAGACUUGAAAGAAUAUCCACUUCCAGAAGUGGUCCAUGGAUAACAAUGGGAGAUUUCAAUAAAAUCAAGGGGAACGAUGAAAAAAGAGGCGGACCACGUCGAUUAGAAAGCAGCUUCACAGAUUUCAGAAGGAUGAUAGCUACUUGUGACUUCCAUGACCUCAAAGCUGUUGGAGAUAGAUUCUCAUGGACAGGAAAACGCCACACACAUGAUGUUUGGUGUUGCCUAGAUAGAGCUAUGGCAAACUCUGAAUGGAUGGCCAAGUUCCCUUCAGCACAGACAGAAUUUCUCCCUUUCGAAGGUUCUGACCACAGACCACUGGUGACCAGCAUUUCCCCAACUAUCACUCAACGUAAAGGAUGUUUCAGAUAUGAUAAGCGACUUAUUGACAGAGAUGGUUUCAGAGAAAGAGUCAUUCACAGUUGGAAUUCAGGAGGCCCAAACACACCAUUAACAACACGAAUUCAGACCUGCAGAAAGGCUAUGGCGACAUGGAAACGCAGGAAUAAAACUAAUGCAGCAGAGAGGAUUGGUCUAUUGAAACAAAAGCUCGAUCAUGCCUUAUCAAACCCUGGAUUCACAACUCGAGAAAUCAACCAAAUUCGAUAUGAUCUAUCCCAAGCUUAUCGUGAAGAGGAAGAGUUUUGGAGAUUGAAGAGUCGAAAAACAUGGGUUGACUUGGGUGAUAGCAUCACAAAAAAUUUGGCGACAGGCUCUAUUCUAUGCUGCAACUAAAGCCAGAGUAGCCAGGAACCGUAUCAUAGUCAUCGAAGAUGAACAAGGAAAUAUAUAUUAUGG